UUUUAUCCAACAGUCCACAUCCUUUAUUUUCUAACCCUAAUUCCCUCUCUGCCAUGGCAGAACUUUCUCUUGGCACUUUCCUCCAUUUUUAGCCAAGCUUUGACCUUCAAAUCCCUACGUGACAGAGCAUAUCUCACCAUUUCGGGUGUAACCUGUAGCAUAUCACUGAAGAAUCACGUGAAGAUCGAAUCCAUCCAAAAAGCUUCUCCGUUAAAAUUUAAACGGAUCCAUUUGACUUCUUUCGAAAUCUGAAUUUCAAAUUCCCUCUCAAAGGAACCCAGAACCCUAAUUUUACACCUAUAAAUACCAGACCUUGUGGCUAUUUUCAGCACCUUUGGACCCGCUGCUUUUAUACUCUUUUCCUCGCCAUUCUUCUCUUAUUUUUAUUCAUUAGAACCGCACUCUAAGAGUUCGUUUUCGUUCAGCCUCUAUUGGUUUUAACCAUAACAGAGGCAUCGUUGUGCUCGUCUUGGAGUUUGACAGUCAUUCGAGGUUGCGGAGUAGAGGCCGGAGAUAGCAGACCUUGACGCGACCCCAGUUCCUGCACCACAAAAGGAGUCUAUUAGGGUUUCUUGGAGAUUACUCUAUCCUAAACCCUAACGCAUACCUAUAUUAAGGGAUACAUAUUCCCUUGAAGAGGGGUUUCAAAAAUCCCAUAAACUCUUGGGAUAUUCACAAAGAGAUCAAAAUAUGACCGGAUACUUCUUGACAAUCAAAUAGUUCAAGAAGCUGGAGAUCAAAUACAUCCCCAGGAGGUCUACAUCAUCCUACAUUCGAGAAAUACGCUGCUUCAGCCCUGGAAUCACGGAGAUAAUCAGGAGAGAAGAAUCAAGGGAGAAACAGAAUUGUAUUUUUCUCCUAUUUUGUGAUUGUAGUUUAUUUUUCAUAUCUUGAAAAUUUAUUGCAAACAAAUUGGCAUGCCUAGUGAGACCAGUUCUGCCCUUCAUCUCUUCCUCCUGUAAAUUGAAAACUCCAAGUUUCAAAAUCAUUUGUUGCGAUGGUCGAGUACUUCAAGUUUCGUCUUCAAGUUUCGGCAAGCCUACAUCCCGACAAACCUUGAAGUAUGGGGAAUUUGUACACAUCUAAAUUUUAACGGAUCAAGCUAAAUCCUAAUUUUAAGAUACUACAAGACUCUUGAAAUCCCAGGAGUCUAUUAGGGGUCUCAAAAAUCCCAUAAACUCUCGAGAUAUGCACAAAGAGAUCAAAAUAUGACCGGAUACUUCUCGACUAUCAAAUAGUUCAAGAAGCUGGAGAUCAAAUACAUCCCCAGGAGGUCUGCAUCAUCCUACAUUCGAGAAAUAUGCUGCUUCAGCCCUCGAAUCACGGAGAUAAUCAGGAGAGAAGAAUCAUAAUUGUACUCACAAUUGAUUAGUAAAAAUAUUUUUCUCCUAUUUUGUGAUUGUAAUUUAUUUUUCAUAUCUUGAAAAUUUAUUGCAAACACUAGUGUCGAAGGAUUAGAUAGCAUGUAUUUAAUUCACUUUAAAGGAGUUAAUAAGGUUCCAUAAUUCACUGAUCAAGAAGGAAUAAUUGUAGGACAACUUAAUCUAUUCAACCUUUAAGAUUUCAAUAAACAUAGAAAGUUCA